rnacentral:tRNA from 1 species
GCCGGAGUGGUGAAAUUGGCAUACACGCAGGUUUUAGGUACCUGUGCCGCAAGGCGUGAGGGUUCAAGUCCCUUCUCCGGCA